UACGAAGGGGGCAAGCGUUGUCCGGAAUCAUUGGGCGUAAAGCGCGCGUAGGCGGCCCGAUAAGUCUGCUGUGAAAGUCCAGGGCUCAACCCUGGAAUGCCGGUGGAUACUGUCGGGCUAGAGUUCGGAAGAGGCAAGUGGAAUUCCUGGUGUAGCGGUGGAAUGCGCAGAUAUCAGGAGGAACACCUAUAGCGAAGGCAGCUUGCUGGGACGACACUGACGCUGAGGCGCGAAAGCGUGGGGAGCGAACAGG
rnacentral:rRNA from 1 species